GAUGAACGCUGGCGGCGUGCCUAAUACAUGCAAGUCGAGCGAACAGACGAGGAGCUUGCUCCUCUGACGUUAGCGGCGGACGGGCGAGUAACACGUGGAUAACCUACCUAUAUGACUGGGAUAACUUCGGGAAACCGGAGCUAAUACCGGAUAAUAUAUUGAACCGCAUGGUUCAAUAGUGAAAGACGGUUUUGCUGUCACUUAUAGCUGGAUCCGCGCCGCCUUAGCUAGUUGGUAAGGUAACGGCUUACCAAGGCAACGAUGCGUAGCCGACCUGAGAGGGUGAACGGCCACACUGGAACUGAGACACGGGCCAGACUCCUACGGGAAGCAGCAGUAGGGAAUCUUCCGCAAUGGGCGAAAGCCUGACGGAGCAACGCCGCGGGAGGGAUGAAGGUCUUCGGAUCGUAAAACUCUGUUAUUAGGGAAGAACAAAUGUGUAAGUAACUAUGCACGUCUUGACGGUACCUAAACAGAAAGCCACGGCUAACUACGUG
rnacentral:rRNA from 1 species